CUAUGGAGGUAGAUUUGUGUCUUUAUUAUGCAAUCAAAAAUAAUAGGUUUGAGAGCAAAACUUUCCACACUGCAAUCAAAAAAUGUUUUAUUGCAAGAUAAAUUAAUGUGAUAAAAAAAAUAUUAAUGGGAAUCCAAAAGUUUUGUUUGCAAACCCAAAAGUUUUGUUUGCAAAUCCAAAAGUUUUGUUUGCAAAUCCAAAAGUUUUGUUUGCGAAUCCAAAAGUUUUGUUUGCGAAUCCAAAAGCUUUGUUUGCGAAUCCUAAAGUUUUGCUUGCGAAUCCAAAAGCUUUGCUUGCUGUUGAGCUGAAUCUCGUGGGCGGGACCUACGCCGAAAGAUGUAAGACACGUCUCUAUUGGCCAGUCUCGAUCGGAGUGACAGCUUGGCAACAUCCACAGUUAGUAACGAGAGAGGGAGUUCUAUUUCAUGUAGGCUACGCCGUCUAGGCUUCGCCUUAUGGGCUUGUCCCGUGCGCGCGCUUGCGCGCCCUGAAAAUUCCGUAGGCCUCCCUGUCAGCCGACAAGGAGACCAUGGCAGAGGAGAGCAGGGCGAUGUUGUUGACCGCCGCCGCGGAUUGAGAGGCACAAACGAACACCCUGUCCGUCAGGCCGACAAUCUGCUUCUUUCGGCGUAGGUCCCGCCCACGAGAUUCAGCUCAACAGCAAGCAAAGCUUUUGGAUUCGCAAGCAAAACUUUAGGAUUCGCAAACAAAGCUUUUUGAUUCGCAAACAAAACUUUUGGAUUCGCAAACAAAACUUUUGGAUUUGCAAACAAAACUUUUGGGAUUGCAAACAAAACUUUUGGAUUCCCAUUAAUAUUUUUUUUAUCACAUUAAUUUAUCUUGCAAUAAAACAUUUUUUGAUUGCAGUGUCGAUAGUUUUGCUCUCAAAUCUAUUUUUUGAUUGCAGUGUGGAAAGUUUUGCUCUCAAACCUAUUUUUUGAUUGCAGUGUGGAAAGUUUUGCUCUCAAACCUAUUAUUUUGAUUGCAUAAUAAAGACACAAAUCUACCUCCAUAGUGUUGUGUCUAAGGUGUUUCAUUGCAAUGGUCUGAAUUCGAUCGCUAGUUUCUGUAGCCUACCUCCUAGGCAAGAUGCACUCACCUCCUACUUUCUUCUCAAUGACCAGUGUCUGAAUUCACUGUAAGUUGCUUUGCAUAAAAUAAUGUAUGAAAAGGGGAAACCUACACAAUACUAUUUGUCUACCAAAUCUUCUUAAACACAAUACGAAACAUGUAUCUGCUAGAAGUAGACCAAGUGGCAAAUGUAUUGAAAUGCAUGGGAAAAAAAUUGCAAUGUCACUGGGAGCCAACACCAUUCAGCUCCAUGGUGAUGGAGCUGU